GGAAAAGAUGCAGUGGAACUGGCUUCGAGGUCCAGAGUUGAGGGGCUCCGUUGCAACCUUAGUUGGAAAAACCAAGAAGACCUCCCAUCCACUUCACAUCAAAGAAUGCCUCUUCCAUUGAAACGAAGAGGGUGACUCUUCAUCUGGUAGCCAAGUUUACACGUCAUCUGACAGAAAGAGGCUUCAAACAAACAAUCUCUGCUCUUAAAGUAAACACCAGUGUUAACUGGCCUAAAUAUUUACCUUUUCGCUCUUUUCAUCCCUCUAUCCGUCCUGUCUUUCACGUUGAUGAGCCACACGCCUAGCACUGGCUUUGAGAUGGCUAUCACACACUCAGUGUAUCAAUCAUUUGGGUAGACGGGGGUAUACAACAUAUGGGCCCUCUAGCCCUUGGGGUGCAAUGGUAGGAGGGUUAUGAGGUGUGUGUGUUUGUGUGUGUAUGUGUGUAAACUCUUGAGACAUGUUGACAGAAGAGGUAAACUGUGGAGGUACACUCACAAGCACAGAGGGAGGAAGG
rnacentral:lncRNA from 1 species